rnacentral:rRNA from 1 species
UGAGGAAUAUUGGUCAAUGGGCGAGAGCCUGAACCAGCCAAGUCGCGUGAAGGAAGACUGCCUUAUGGGUUGUAAACUUCUUUUAUACAGGAAUAAAAAGGCUUACGUGUAGGCCAUUGCAAGUACUGUAUGAAUAAGCAUCGGCUAACUCCGUGCCAGCAGCCGCGGUAAUACGGAGGAUGCGAGCGUUAUCCGGAUUUAUUGGGUUUAAAGGGUGCGCAGGCGGGCUUUUAAGUCAGCGGUGAAAUCUGGACGCUUAACGUCCAAACUGCCGUUGAAACUGGGAGUCUUGAGUAUGGAUGAAGUAGGCGGAAUUCGUUGUGUAGCGGUGACAUGCAUAGAUAUAACGAGGAACUCCGAUUGCGUAGGCAGCUUACUAAGCCAUAACUGACGCUCAUGCACGAAAGCGUGGGGAUCAAACAGGAUUAGAUACCCUGGUAGUCCACGCCGUAAACGAUGAUUACUAGUUGUAUGCGAUAUGAUAGUAUGUGACUAAGCGAAAGCGAUAAGUAAUCCACCUGGGGAGUACGCCGGCAACGGUGAAACUUAAAUGAAUUGACGGGGUCAUAGCU